AGCAGCCGCGGUAAUUCCAGCUCCAAUAGCGUAUAUUAAAGUUGCUGCAGUUAAAAAGCUCGUAGUUGAAUUUCGGGACUAAUAUGUCGGUCGUGCCUCGGUACGUACUGGUUUAUUGGUUUCUCCUUUCUGAAGAACCAUGAUGUCAUUUAUUUGGUGUCGUGGGAAAUCAGGACUGUUACUUUGAAAAAAUUAGAGUGUUUAAAGCAGGCUCACGCUUGAAUACAUUAGCAUGGAAUAAUGAAAUAGGACGUUUGAUUCUAUUUUGUUGGUUUCUAGGAUCGACGUAAUGAUUAAUAGGGAUAGUUGGGGGCAUUAGUAUUCAAUUGUCAGAGGUGAAAUUCUUGGAUUUAUUGAAGACUAACUACUGCGAAAGCAUUUGCCAAGGAUGUUUUCAUUAAUCAAGAACGAAAGUUAGGGGAUCGAAGACGAUCAGAUACCGUCGUAGUCUUAACCAUAAACUAUGCCGACUAGGGAUCGGAUGAUGUUAAUUUUUUAAUGACUC
rnacentral:rRNA from 1 species